UACCUGCAAUGAUGUGGUUGUCUGAAUGAUUUCUAUGUUCUCUUCAAAUUUAAAGCUUUUAUAAAAUUUUUCAAAAUCUAUUUAUAUAUAUAAAUUAACAAAAAUAAUUUUAUUUGGAAUGUUUUCAUUCGUGGUGACUCUGGAGCCAUAUUCAGUUUAUAUUUUAUAUUAAUACAUUCUUUUAUUCUAAUUUGACACCUUUAGAAAGAAAAUACAAAUCUUAAAGCAAUGGUUCUCAAGGAAGAGAAAGUUGGGCUUUCUCAGAUCAAUUGGACAGCUUUGUCAAACUAUAACCCUCAAAGAUUAUGAUCCCCUCUUGCCUCUGAGAAAAUACUUUAUCCCUUAGAGAAUCAGGCCUGCUGAGUAGGGCAUCACAUUAAAAAAAAGUCAUACAAAACUAUAAUUGCUGACUAUGGCAAGUGUUAGGUAGGAAAAGCACAGAGUGCUGGGACUGCACAUAGAACAAAGAACCUCAGCUAGCUGAGACAGAAGUAGUCAAGGAAGUUUCCAAGGCAACGGUAUCUGAGCUGAGAUCUGAAGGGGGAGCAUUAGGAGGCAGUACAGACAGUUCCAGUUGGAAGAAGUAACAGGUACAAACUACUGAGCAGAAGGAAAGAGGGCACUUGCACACUCCUAUAUCAACAGGACUCAGAGAGGAUAUACUCAAGGAGAUUAACAAUCUACAGACACAGAUUCAAAGGUUACUUUCUAAAAGGUAGAGAUAACUAAAGGCACUUUCCACUUCCCAUUCACUAUUUAGCUCCUUGAAUUCUCAUUUUUGCCUUCACAGUCAAAUGAAACCACCAACCUCUAAGGUCAUCAAUAACUUCCUUUUAAAAAAAUGUAUCAAAAGAAAAUAAUAUGAAACUCUCUGGGAGUGCUGAUAAUGUUCUAUUCCUUGACUGGGUAGUUACCUGGGUGUGUUCACUUUGUGGUAACAUCAAGAUUUGUAUACUUUUUUCCUGAAUGGAUGUUAUAAUUGUAAAGAAAAAAUAAGAAAUAAAAAUGUCUCACAAUUGC